rnacentral:rRNA from 1 species
GACGAACGCUGGCGGCGUGCCUAAUACAUGCAAGUAGAACGCUGAAGCGAGGAGCUUGCUCUUCUUGGAUGAGUUGCGAACGGAUGAGUAACGCGUAGGUAACCUGCCUUGUAGCGGGGGAUAACUAUUGGAAACGAUAGCUAAUACCGCAUAACAAUGGAUGACACAUGUCAUUUAUUUGAAAGGGGCAAUUGCUCCACUACAAGAUGGACCUGCGUUGUAUUAGCUAGUAGGUGAGGUAAUGGCUCACCUAGGCGACGAUACAUAGCCGACCUGAGAGGGUGAUCGGCCACACUGGGACUGAGACCCGGCCCAGACCCCUACGGGAGGCAGCAGUAGGGGAUCUUCGGAAAUGGGGGCAACCCUGACCGAGCAACGCCGCGUGAGUGAAGAAGGGUUUCGGAUCGUAAAGCUCUGUUGUAAGUCAAGAACGGGUGUGAGAGUGAAAAGUUCACACUGUGACGGUAGCUUACCAGAAAGGGACGGCUAACUACGUG